UACGUAGGGUGCGAGCGUUGUCCGGAAUUAUUGGGCGUAAAGGGCUCGUAGGCGGUCCGUCACGUCGGGAGUGAAAACUCGGGGCUCAACCCCGAGCCUGCUUUCGAUACGGGCGGACUAGAGGUAGGUAGGGGAGAACGGAAUUCCUGGUGUAGCGGUGGAAUGCGCAGAUAUCAGGAGGAACACCGGUGGCGAAGGCGGCGAUCUGGGUCGAUACUGACGCUGAGGCGCGAAAGCCAGGGGAGCAAACGGG
rnacentral:rRNA from 1 species